rnacentral:rRNA from 1 species
GAUGAACGCUGGCGGCGUGCCUAAUACAUGCAAGUCGAGCGAACAGACGAGGAGCUUGCUCCUCUGACGUUAGCGGCGGACGUGUGAGUAACACGUGGAUAACCUACCUAUAAGACUGGGAUAACUUCGGGAAACCGGAUCUAAUACCGGAUAAUAUAUUGAACCGCAUGGUUCAAUAGUGAAAGACGGUUUUGCUGUCACUUAUAGAUGGAUCCGCGCCGCAUUAGCUAGUUGUUAAGGUAACGGCUUACCAAGGCAACGAUGCGUAGACGACCUGAGAGGGUGAUCGGCCACACUGGAACUGAGACACGGUCCAGACUCCUACGGGAGGCAGCAGUAGGGAAUCUUCCGCAAUGGGCGAAAGCAUGACGGAGCAACGCCGCGUGAGUGAUGACGGUCUUCGGAUCGUAAAACUCUGUUAUUAGGGAAGAACAAAUGUGUAAGUAACUAUGCACGUCUUGACGGUACCUAAUCAGAAAGCCACGGCUAACUACGUG